rnacentral:tRNA from 1 species
AGGGGUUUAGCUCAGUAGGGAGAGCGCCUGUUUUACACGCAGAUUGUCACUGGUUCGAUCCCAGUAACCCCUACCA